GAUGAACGCUGGCGGCGUGCCUAAUACAUGCAAGUCGAGCGAACAGGCGAGGAGCUUGCUCCUCUGACGUUAGCGGCGGACGGGUGAGUAACACGUGGAUAACCUACCUAUAAGACUGGGAUAACUUCGGGAAACCGGAGCUAAUACCGGAUAAUAUAUUGAACCGCAUGGUUCAAUAGUGAAAGACGGUUUUGCUGUCACUUAUAGAUGGAUCCGCGCCGCAUUAGCUAGUUGGUAAGGUAACGGCUUACCAAGGCAACGAUGCGUAGCCGACCUGAGAGGGUGAUCGGCCACACUGGAACUGAGACACGGUCCAGACUCCUACGGGAGGCAGCAGUAGGGAAUCUGCCGCAAUGGGCGAGAGCCUGACGGAGCAACGCCGCGUGAGUGAUGAAGGUCUUCGGAUCGUAAAACUCUGUUAUUAGGGAAGAACAAAUGUGUAAGUAACUAUGCACGUCUUGACGGUACCUAAUCAGAAAGCCACGGCUAACUACGUG
rnacentral:rRNA from 1 species